AUGUUUCAUUUCAUUGAAUGUUAUUUUGUGGAUUUAAAUGUGUCUGCUUCCCCCUCCUUUCCUUCAGGGAGAACCAGGAGAGCCUGGUCAGCCUGGUUUGUCAGGAGAAACAGGUCUGCCUGGACCAAGAGGUCCAGAAGGGAAACCUGGAUUACCAGGAUCAUCUCUGGUACAUGUCUACAUCAUUUUACAUUACAUUUAUCAUGGUCCUGUUUGUAUGUUUUAAGAUAUGAGACCUUUUGCUUUGCAGGGCAGUUCGGGUCUUGAUGGUUUACCAGGGAAACCAGGGUUUAAGGUUAUUCAAACUCAUGCACACAGUUGUACUAGUUAUUUAUAUACUAUAUACUUUUUUUUAAUUAUUUAUCAUAAGUGUUAUUAAAAAUAUGCCCAUGUGAAUUGCAUUGUGCAUCAUACGUUUGCUGUGUGAACUUACAAGAUGUUUUAUAAUAACUGCAGGGUGACCAGGGUUUAAAAGGAGAGCCUGGUCUGGUGAGUGCACCAAUAUUUUGUUCAUACAUUAUUACAUUUGCUCAAAUAUCAGAAAAAGAAUCUUUGUUUACACAGGUGUGUGGGUAGCUAUUAGACAACAGAACUCGGGAACUGUUAAUAAUCCACCACAUGAGUGGAAACUGGAGAAAUAAUUUGCCUCACUUCAGUUCAUAUCAAUGACACACAUAUUGUACACCUUUGAUCUCAUUAAGCAGUUGUCUGAGCUUGUGACUCUGUUGAUACGGCUGAAUCAAAAGACUCAUUAUGUGAUGAUGUCAGACAGACUGAAACACAAAAAUCACGACACAGAAAUGAUCAGAUGCAAGAGUAUUCAGUUUACUAAUGAUGAAAAGACCAGUUCUUUAAAGUAACCUGGUUCUUCUCGUUUCUCUGCCACCAGGGAAUACAGCCUUACUUUUUAUUGGUAGGAAAAAAUGGUUCAAAAAGUAGGCCAUCCAAAACUAUUUUUUACCGUCCACUUACAUAAAAAGUAGCCCAGUUGUGUGGAAAACUGCCCAAUCUGGCAACACUGGUUAGGAAUAAGUACAGUGUCUUGUUUACAAUACAUUUGAAAGCAGAACUGGACACACUUGCCUGAAAUAUUAUAUAUAUAUUGUCCAUUGCCAGGGAUUAGUUUUAUUAGAUAAUAAAAUCACAGAAAUCAAUAAAAAAGAACACUAAUCUUUUAGUAAUGUUUCACUAAGUAAACUGUAUGCCAGGUUCCCUUUUUGCCGCUACAUAUUUGUUAUUGUUUUGGACAAACAAUGUUUUUAUGCUUCAUACUAUUGUUUUUGUAUGUGAGCAGAAGGGAGAUAAAGGAGACCAAGGCCGGGUUGGGAUUGCUGGAAUGCCUGGUUUACCGGGAACUCCGGUGAGUAAUCACGUUGCCGAUCCAUCCUUCAAACAUUUCUAAUGGUCACAGUCCGUACUGGAGUCUACGUUCAAGCCUAUGUAACAAAAUUUUUUGCGUUUUAUUUCCUCUGCUGUUCAGGGGAGACCUGGCAUUGAUGGGAAGAGAGGCCUGCCAGCAAAAGAUGUGAGGAACAUUUCACCUAUUUUGUGUGACACCAACUGGAUUACUUUUAUGCCUAAUGUUUCAGCUAUUUUUACAUUAUUGCGAACAAAAAGACGUGUUGAAGUUGAAAAUGCAUUUUUCUUUUUACACAGGGAGAAAACGGACCAAAGGGAGACAUCGGGGAAAAGGUUAUUAAAAUGUAUUGCUAACAAAAAGAACAUUUAUCUCUUUUAUAAAUAUGACAUGAUCUUUCAAUGUGCCUCUCUUUUCAGGGGGACAAGGGAGAUCCAGGUGCCAAUGUGAGUGGUGUAUUGAUUCAAAACUAAAGUUAUCAGUGUGAGAAAACUAAGGUUGCACCUUUAGAGCAUCUUUCUUCCUUCACAGGGUAAAGACGGCGGUAAGGGGGAACCAGGACCUCCAGGUUCACCUGGUAUGCAGGUGCUUGUCACUCCAGAGGUAUGUAUAAUUACCUGCAUUGUUGGUUCCUGAAAGCAUAUUUCUUAUUUGCCAUCUCUUACCAAAGCAUAACAGUAGAUUCAAGAGUUAAUGAAGGCUUGCACCCAAAAUCAUUAUCACCUUGGCCCAUUUCUUGUUGUAAAUGAUUCAGAAAAACAUUAAGCAGGUCUACCUAAACCUGCCUGGCAGCUUCAGUUGAUUACUUCUUUUUCUCAGGGCGCCACCAUUGACGAAAUCCGGCAAGCAUUUCCAAUCCCAAUGGGUCCUCCAGGAGCUACUGUGAGUAUAAUGCUUACACACGUGUCAUGUAUAUGAAUAACGGCACAUGAUUUUAGCUGUUGCAUGGCUUAAUUCAUGUUUGGCCUGCAUGACAUCCGAGUCAUAAUGCAGCGAUGACUGUAGUGCCUUUAUUGUGGGUUGGCAAGCUUGAUGUCAUGCAUUGUAGAUGCAUGUUCCAAUGUCUUGCUCCUCUGUUUCCGUGUGUUUAGGGUUCGCCAGGAAUGAAGGUAAGAUGGUGAUGGAGUUUAUUCUUACUUAUUUGUAAAAGAAAGACAGAAAUAUUAGCUCUGCAGCUCAUUUGUCCUUUUUUGCAGGGUGAUAGAGGAGAAACAGGCCUGAGAGGAGACAAGGUAGUGCUUCAGUGUUGUCCCUCAAAAAACAGAUGAAUAUGGAAAUGUAAAUUAUAUUUUCUUGAAUGCAUUUAUUAUAAUGUUCCUGCAGGGUGACGCUGGAGCUCCUGGAAGGUCUAUUGAGAUGAAGGUGACUAAAGGAUUAAGUCAUUUCUCCUUUGGGAUACAUUUUCUUAUUUUCCACAUUGAUCAUUAUGUGUUUUUUCUCUACUUUAGGACAUUGAAGUGAUGUUUGAAGCCUACGGCAUAAGGGUGAGCUCUCAGCAUGACGUAUGAAUUUUCAGGUUGAUAGAAUUUGUAAUAGUAUCCCAGUUUGACCUUCUCACUCAAAUCUAUUUCUCAGCUGCCGUUGCUGAAGGCUCUGAUUGACAGGCUGCUGCAGGAGGGACUAGAGGAGCUGCUUCAUGUACUCGACAUCUCCAAGAAAACAACAAAUGAAAAGAAAGACACUCAUACCUCCAACGUCAUCACUGAGUACACAGUACGUAAACCCUAGGGCAGCAGUGUGUGAGUUGUUUUGUAAAAAAUGAUUAUAGAGGCCAUAUACUGUAUGUAAGUUCAUGUAAGAUGAUGUAAAUUCU
rnacentral:lncRNA from 1 species